rnacentral:rRNA from 1 species
UACGUAGGUGACCAGCGUUGUCCGGAUUUACUGGGCGUAAAGAGCGCGCAGGCGGUCGUUCAAGUCGAGUGUGAAAGCCCCCGGCUCAACUGGGGAGGGUCACUCGAUACUGAUCGACUUGAAGGCAGGAGAGGGAAGCGGAAUUCCCGGUGUAGUGGUGAAAUGCGUAGAUAUCGGGAGGAACACCAGUGGCGAAGGCGGCUUCCUGGCCUGUUCUUGACGCUGAGGCGCGAAAGCCAGGGGAGCGAACAGG